rnacentral:rRNA from 1 species
ACUCCUACGGGAGGCAGCAGUGGGGAAGGUACUUGGGACAAUGGGGGCAACCCGUACGAUCCAGCCAUGCCGCGUGAGUGAUGAAGGCCUUAGGGUCGUAAAGCUCUUUCGCCUGUGAUGAUAAUGACAGUAGCAGGUAAAGAAACCCCGGCUAACUCCGUGCCAGCAGCCGCGGUAAUACGGAGGGGGUUAGCGUUGUUCGGAAUUACUGGGGCGUAAAGCGCGCGUAGGCGGACCAGAAAGUUGGGGGUGAAAUCCCGGGGGCUCAACCCCGGAACUGCCUCCAAAACUCCUGGUCUUGAGUUCGAGAGAGGUGAGUGGAAUUCCGAGUGUAGAGGUGAAAUUCGUAGAUAUUCGGAGGAACACCAGUGGCGAAGGCGGCUCACUGGCUCGAUACUGACGCUGAGGUGCGAAAGUGUGGGGAGCAAACAGGAUUAGAUACCCUGGUAGGAUAGCG